rnacentral:rRNA from 1 species
UGGGGAAUCUUGGACAAUGGGCGCAAGCCUGAUCCAGCCAUGCCGCGUGGAUGAUGAAGGCCUUAGGGUUGUAAAAUCCUUUCGUUGGGGACGAUAAUGACGGUACCCAAAGAAGAAGCUCCGGCUAACUUCGUGCCAGCAGCCGCGGUAAUACGAAGGGGGCUAGCGUUGUUCGGAUUUACUGGGCGUAAAGCGCGUGUAGGCGGGCUGGAAAGUUGGGGGUGAAAUCCCGAGGCUCAACCUCGGAACUGCCUCCAAAACUGGCGACCUGGACUCAAGCAGAGGCAAGUGGAAUUGCGAGUGUAGAGGUGAAAUUCGUAGAUAUUCGCAGGAACACCAGUGGCGAAGGCGACUUGCUGGGCUUGUAGUGACGCUGAGACGCGAAAGCGUGGGGAGCAAACAGGAUUAGAUACCCAAGUAGUCCCUGAGCGGGCUGGCAAGGCGCAU